UAUUCCUUUAAGAGUAGUCCCGUGAGGCUAAGAAGGACACAUGCAGAUGCAAUCAGGUGCGCUUGAUGUUGGUCUGUAUGUAUUACAGUAUACUUUUGUAAACUUGUAAGCUAUCCUCCUGCCUUCUGGGCAGGAGUUUUUUUGUU
rfam:Enterococcus sp. 9E7_DIV0242 scaffold00001, whole genome shotgun sequence.